GUUAGUCUUUCAUUUGCCAGGAUGAUGGGAAAGCACUGCCUUGCUCUGCAACUGAAAUGGUGGUGGCCGCUUUGCCAAUGGACGGUUGGCUGUGAUUUCCAGGGACAGUUGUUCUUCCAGAAGCAAAGUGCCCAAGGCUCUGGGACGGCUCUCUCAAAUGUUACUGUCUAUAUGAAUCCACCUUGGGAUAUUAGUAAAAUGAGUUUCUGAUACAGAAGAUCUAGAAAGCGCCUGAAAUGCUGAUAUUCUGUCUCCCAGGUGGAGGAGUUCAGCUAUUACCUUGACUUUGCCGAAGUCCUAGGCACUCCCAUGCCCUCAGAGUCUCAUUUUGAAUCCAGGCACUUAGGGAUGCUAUUUUUCCACAUCAAACAGCUUCCUCCCAGCCAAAGAAUUCUGGUGACAGUAGUGAAGAUAAUUUUCACUCCUGCUUACAGAAUGACAAAGCAAAAGCAAAGAGGAGAAGAAUGAAGUAAAGACAACCAAAGGAAAAGACUGAUGGCUCCUUAAGAAUGAUCUUGAUAAAGGAAUGGUGGCUGAGGGGUCCAUCUCCUAAACCACCCACCUUACUGACUCCCUAGAGCAAUGCCAUACAGAAAGCUGCACCUUGAGGGGAAGACACAAGAAUCCUGGAGUGGAAAAAAAUUGGGUAAUGAUGACAGCCUUCGAGGUCUUGAGAGUAAAGCAGAAGCAAAAAAAAAGUGUUAUUUUUAUCUUUUGAAGAUGGUUCCCUCUUAAGACUUUUGCGAAUGAUUAAGAUUUCAAUUAUGUUCCAGGAAAAAAAUAAGAUUUUUGCUUGACAAAAAAAAUUUUUGUCUAGAACAGGUGGGAAGGAAGAGAUAGUUUAGCCACAUCCAAGAGACCUGUAAAUUGGGUACAGUGAAGUGAAUGGUGUACCAGUCAUAAAAGAAUGUUAACUGGAGAAGUCUCUGCUGUCUUCCUGUAACUGAGGGGGGUGUAACCAUCCUUGUGGAAGCGUCCACUUUUAUUGAAGAUUGGCUAAAUAAAUCUGUGCCUACUGAAACUCAAGC
rnacentral:lncRNA from 1 species